ACGCGAAGAACCUUACCAAGUCUUGACAUCCCGAUGACCAGGUAUGUAAUGUACCCUUUCUUCGGAACAUCGGUGACAGGUGGUGCAUGGUUGUCGUCAGCUCGUGUCGUGAGAUGUUGGGUUAAGUCCCGCAACGAGCGCAACCCUUAUCCUUAGUAGCCAGCAGUUCGGCUGGGCACUCUAGGGAGACUGCCAGGGAUAACCUGGAGGAAGGCGGGGAUGACGUCAAAUCAUCAUGCCCCUUAUGACUUGGGCUACACACGUGCUACAAUGGCGUAAACAAAGGGAAGCGAAACCGUGAGGUCGAGCAAAUCCCAAAAAUAACGUCUCAGUUCGGACUGUAGUCUGCAACUCGACUACACGAAGCUGGAAUCGCUAGUAAUCGCAGAUC
rnacentral:rRNA from 1 species